GACGAACGCUGGCGGCGUGCCUAAUACAUGCAAGUCGAGCGGACCGAACAGGAGCUUGCUCUUGUUCGGUUAGCGGCGGACGGGUGAGUAACACGUGGGUAACCUGCCCGUAAGACCGGGAUAACUCCGGGAAACCGGAGCUAAUACCGGAUAACACCGAAGACCGCAUGGUCUUUGGUUGAAAGGCGGCUUCGGCUGCCACUUACGGAUGGGCCCGCGGCGCAUUAGCUAGUUGGUGAGGUAACGUCUCACCAAGGCGACGAUGCGUAGCCGGCCUGAGAGGGUGACCGGCCCCCCUGGGACUGAGACACGGCCCAGACUCCUACGGGAGGCAGCAGUAGGGAAUCUUCCGCAAUGGACGAAAGUCUGACGGAGCGACGCCGCGUGAGCGAAGAAGGUCUUCGGAUCGUAAAGCUCUGUUGUUAGGGAAGAAGAAGCGUCGUUCGAACAGGGCGGCGCGGUGACGGUACCUAACGAGAAAGCCCCGGCUAACUACGUG
rnacentral:rRNA from 1 species